AUGCUCGUGCUCCCGGCGCUGUGCGCAUUGCUGCUCAGAGCAGCGUCGGCGGCUCAAUGGACGCCCGCCCACGCGACGUUCUACGGCGGCGGCGACGCGUCCGGCACCAUGGGCGGCGCCUGCGGGUACGGCAACCUGUACGGCGCGGGGUACGGCACGCGGACGACGGCGCUGAGCACCGCCCUGUUCAACAACGGCGCGUCGUGCGGGGCGUGCUUCACGAUCGCGUGCGACACGCGCAAGUCGCGGAUGUGCAAGCCGGGGGCCUCCAUCACCGUCACGGCCACCAACUUCUGCCCGCCCAACUACGCGCUCGCCGGCGGCGACAACGGCGGCUGGUGCAACCCGCCGCGGCAGCACUUCGACAUGGCCCAGCCGGCGUGGGAGACCAUCGCCGUCUACAAGGCCGGCAUCGUCCCCGUCAACUACAGGAGGGUGCGCUGCCAGCGGAGCGGCGGGAUCAGGUUCACCAUCAACGGCCACAGCUACUUCGAGCUGGUGCUGGUGACCAACGUGGGCGGCAGCGGCGGCGUGGCGCAGAUGUGGAUCAAGGGCUCCCGCACCAACUGGAUGGAGAUGAGCCGGAACUGGGGCGCAAACUGGCAGAGCAACGCCAACCUCGACGGCCAGAGCCUCUCGUUCCGCGUCAAAUCCGACGACGGCCGCGUCGUCACGGCCAACGACGUCGCGCCGCCCGGGUGGUGGUUCGGCGGCACGUACACGUCCGGGGCUCAGUUGUACUGA
rnacentral:rRNA from 1 species